UUGCCUCCUAUGGUGCAGAUUAAUGGGCGCCGGCUGGAGAACCUGUCUCACUCCGAGGCUGUGGAGCUCUUCCGAACGGCGGGGGAGGACGUGCUGCUCCGGGUGCAACAGAGGCCUCCAGCGCCGGCGAAUGGCCCUGUGGUACCCAGACCUGAGGAGCCCCCCAUUCCCAUGUGGAUCGUCCUGACCAUCUCGGCAGCAGGAGUCGCAGUGGCUGCCUUCCUCUAUUUCCGAUCCAAUACGAGGAGGCACUUUUAAGUUGUUUUUUUUUUUUUAAUGUGAAAGAAAAACUGGGACUGAUUUAUUCACUUAGGCCAAAAAAAAAGAGAGAAGCCACUUUUCCUUAUUUUAUUGUUAAGAUUUAUUUUUUAUUUUGUGAUCGUUGCAGCUGCUUAAAAUGUACAAUUCAGCCCUAGAAGAGAGAAGAUUUACAGAAUCGUGCCAAAUCUCAAGGGAGCAGUCACAUUGACUGGGGGACAUCAGAAUGUGGGGGAAAACGGAUGAGAGGCUUGUGAAGUGCUUAACUGGCCUCAGUGUUCCCACACAUUUUCCUCUUACUACGGAGGUGUUUGGGAAAGCAGACACUUAGCCACAGAGAUCAAACAGAUCUGCCAGUGAAGUGAAUUUUGUAGGCCCAGAGUGAUCUUAAUAGGACAUUGUUCAGUUUAAAAAAGUGGCCAUUAUCACAAUAUGCGCUCUUAUAAUUUUGUUGUAUUUUACUUUUCUUCUUGGACCUCUUAAAUUUCCAUUUCUAAUGAGUGUUUUUUGUCACGUUUCCAAUACAACACAAUUUACUGCUCUUGUGUUAUUACAAAACAUCCAACUUGGCUAGAAUGUGGGGUAAUAUGCAUUUUAUUGUAAAUAUAAGAUCAAACUGCGUUUCUCCUAAGAAGCAUUUUGGCUGUAGAAAUAGCUGUCUUUCCAUGCACACUUCACCAUGCUUGCAUAUUGCACAGAACAGGGAGUAAGGCUAAUGGCACAAGCAGCAUUUUGGUUAAUAUUACAAUUUCUUUAUACACCACAAAGAGAUUUUGGAAUGCAUCAGGGAAUAAAGAUACUUAUCACACAAUUCUUUAAUUAGGUAACUCUUUCACAGGUCAGAGACACAUUUCUGCAUCUGACUAAUUCUAUACUUUAACUAUUUAAUUUGACAGAUUUGACAUUAGUCUUAAAACAUGCUACUAGUGGACUAAAACAAUGCAUUGGUGUUAUGAGUAUGUUGAGGCCUAUACAUUUCUAUUUUAUAAAAAGAAAUUAUUGAAAGACAUUAAAUGAAAUUAAAGAAAUGACAUGGGCAACAGAAUGUUUAAUAUGUAGAUAAAGUCCACCUACUCUGCCCUCAAAAAAGCUAGCCAUCCUAACAAAAUGUUCAUAAAAAGUAAGCUUUUUCUUCAUUGUCUACUGCCAUCUUCUGGAAGGCUCAUAGUAGUACAGUUCCUAAUGUUUUACCUGGACUUUCGUGAUUGAAUGUCUGCUUUUAGCUUUAGAAAGUACAGAGAUAUUAAGGAGAAGUCUGGGCUCCAUAUUCUUCCACAUGUUUUGAAGGACACAUGUUUUGAGGGAACAUACAGAUAAAUCCUAGACACAUGGAGCACUUUGUACAUACUGUAAAUGCUCUCCUCAGUUUCACAGUUAAAUUCACAAAUAUGCUUGCAUUUGAGAUUAAAUCUCAUUGUAAUUAGAAAUCAACUUGAAGGAACAUUAAUGUUGUAUUCACUUAUAUAAAUACUUUUUUUCUAGUAUUUUUGACAGUAAUAUUGCAUUUCUUAACUUGCUUCAACAUUUGAGUGCUUGUUUUAUAGUUAUAGAAAAAUGUUGUCCACAAUUUCCUGUGUUAAUACUCUUAGAUUUAAGAAACAUAAUUCGUACAAUGUCAAACACCAGUGCUAAAUGUAAUCGCAGGCAUUUGUGUGAUGGGAUCUCCUUUUUACACUUAACAGUUACGUACAGGGGCAGUGCAGUGGUUAACAUUGCUGUCUCGCGGUACUGGACCCGAAGUGUUAUCGAUGUGGAGUUUGUAUAUUCUCCCCAUAUUUGUGUGAGUUUCUUCCCACAGCCCAAAGACUCCUUGGAAACCUGUUAAGCAGUAAGGAGAAUGAAUGGAUGGAAUAUACCUACAGAGCCCUCCCAACUGGCUCAACCGGGCUCUCGCCCAAGUGCAGGUUGACCUUUAUGCUCAGGGGUUUGAGCCAGAGCCAUGUCACUGGCUGACUACGACCAUGAUUCCCCAAUACAAAUGGCUGUAUGCAGCAGGGUAAGGUGACAUAGUUGACUAGGGCUCUCUAAACUCUCAGCAACACACUGCCAACUGGAGCUUAUUGGCCACUUGCAGGCAUGUGGUGGUGUUGGUGAGGCCUGCCAGUUCGUGCUGACCUCAAGUUUGGAGCCCUGUGGCCUGUGCACUGUUAACAAAUGUCUUGAAGGUGUUCUGUCUACACUUUCUUGUUGCUCUGUGUACGGUCACAAGGCUCAUAGCUACAGUACAUAGACAUGCAAAACACAACUGGUUAUUCCACAUCAAUUGGGUAUAACAACAAUUAGAAUGAUAUAAAAAUGUUAUCUGUCAAAGUAUGGGCAUUUUAAAUGACAAGGUACAAUAAAUGAAAAAUAUCAACGUGCUUUUACAUAGUACCAGAAAACUUAGUAGGAGAGUAGUUUGAAUUUGCUUUGCUAAACUGAGUUUUACUUCCUGCUAGUGACCUUCAGUCCACUAUAUUUGAUAUGCAGUACUAUAUCACAAACUGUUCAAUAGCACAAGUAUGGGUUGGAAGCCUCCUGCUCAGGAGAAAGGUUAAAGAUACAACUGGCUAUGCUUGAAAAUUCAAUCUGUGUAUAAGGCACAGUCACAAGAGGCGUGAGUGGGUCAGUAUUUUCUUGAUUUCAGCUUUGAUAACUUUAGGAGAGAAAUCCUCACCCCACACGCUUUGUGUGACUGGAUUCAUGUCUAAGCUCAAGACUUGCUGUCUUGUUCGAUUUAUGACCUCUGUGAUACUGCCAACUGAUAAGUGCAGCCUCAGUCUUUAGUGUUUUAUUACAUCUGAAGUCUUAAUCUGACUAUUGUUAUUUUUCUUUGCUAAGUUUUCUCGGAUCAUAAUAGAUUGGAGAUUUUAAGUUGCUAUAGUAUCAAGAAUUCCAGAGUACUCUAGGUUAAGUGAAAGUUUCUGAAGUUUGACUGCCAAACAGAUAUGUUUAUAGGCUAAAAGCAGCAGAUCAUGCUGUUUUGUUUUGCAUCCUGAUAAUGUUUAUGGACUAUAGUACUGUUAGGAUCCCACAACAGGGCUUUUUGUAAAUUAUUUCAACUUUAAAGCAUUAGCUUUUUCCCAGACUGUUAAAGUUAAUCAUUUGUAUAUCUUCCCUAAUUUUGUUUCCUGUACUUUUAUUUUCUUCUGGAGUCAUUUAUUGAAUCACCAUCUAUUCUUCUCUGUAAAUGCUAAUGCACUGAAAAUUGCUUUUUUUGCAAGUGCCAGUUAACAACUUCCCCUUAAGCCUGACAGAUGUCUCACAUCUCUUGGGUCCUGGGUCUGAUUGUUUGAUUAGUGGUUUCACAUCUAAUGUUUCUGUGCAGCAGGACAGUAGCUUUCUAAAGGGAAAUAAUUAAAGUAUUUAUUUGCCAUGCACAAUGUGUACUGUGUUUCAAAAUUGUUUGAAAGCCUUAAAUCGAGACUAGUACAUAAACAGUAGGAAAUAUAAGGAUUGUGCAUAUUCAAGAAAUAGGUUGUGCAAAAAGAAAUAGGUUAAAUAUAUUUUGUUGUUCUUUGUUACUUGUGGAUGAUAUAUUUGCCCUACAAUGGAGUUGAUGAAGGGAAAUUGUGAACUAAACUGUCAGCCUGACCUUAGCCUGGAAAAAAGGAUGUGUUUUCUAUAUUCUGUAUUGAUUCAGGGAGAGUGAAUGUAUGUCAGUCAUUGUGAAGGGGUUGAUUUAUAUCAGAGGGAGAGAUUAAAGCUUGCAGCACAGGAGAGAAGGGGAUUCUAAGUCAGUAGUAAAUGUUCUGGACUGUAUCACAGUGUGUGCCUUAAGCAGAGAGUGGAAGUGAUGCAUCUAGAGAUGCAAGAUUGUACAGUAUCAAGAAAUUUUGGAAAAAGCCUGAACGGUAUCACAAUAUCCAAUAUUUGAUUCCAUAUUUGUACCUUUACUGUAUGACUGUUUCCUUGUAUAUCAAAUCAAGAUUGCCUGUAAACACUUGCCUUAAUGAGAUUGUAUCAGGUCAAUAAAACAAUCAAGAAUCA